AAGAAAAUUGAGAAGCAUGUAAUUGGUCAGAAUCUUGCUGAAGUAGACAAAAUUUAGGUCAUCUCAUCAUCAAGAUCCCUUACUUGAGGAAAACAUCAUAUGGUCCUAUCUGGAUGUGCUCCAUGCUUCGAUGUUCAACUUGAGAUUAGAAGGAAUAAGCAGGUCAUUCUUCCCUUUCUUUUUAGUUCUUCAAUAAUGAUACAUGAUGAUUAUACUUCUUAAACUAUCAAGUACUACUAAUCACGAGCUAUUCCUUUAUAACAGCAUUUUCAGCCAAAUUCUUUUUACACCUAGCAGAACUUUUUAGCAACAGCUACCAGAAAGCUAAUAUGUUCAACCCUCAGAGAGUUCUGCGGUAGAUCCUGGCAUCAUCUCAUAGAUUCUG
rnacentral:lncRNA from 1 species